UACAGAGGUCUCAAGCGUUGUUCGGGUUCAUUGGGCGUAAAGGGUGCGUAGGCGGCGCGGUAAGUCGGAUGUGAAAUCUCGGAGCUUAACUCCGAAAUUGCAUUCGAUACUGGCGUGCUUGAGGACUGGAGAGGAGACUGGAAUUCACGGUGUAGCAGUGAAAUGCGUAGAGAUCGUGAGGAAGACCAGUGGCGAAGGCGGGUCUCUGGACAGUUCCUGACACUGAGACACGAAGGCCAGGGGAGCAAACGGG
rnacentral:rRNA from 1 species